UACGUAGGUCCCGAGCGUUGUCCGGAUUUAUUGGGCGUAAAGCGAGCGCAGGUGGUUUAUUAAGUCUGAUGUGAAAGCCCACGGCUCAACCGUGGAGGGUCAUUGGAAACUGGGAAACUUGAGUGCAGAAGAGGAAAGUGGAAUUCCAUGUGUAGCGGUGAAAUGCGCAGAGAUAUGGAGGAACACCAGUGGCGAAGGCGACUUUCUGGUCUGUAACUGACGCUGAUGUGCGAAAGCGUGGGGAUCAAACAGG
rnacentral:rRNA from 1 species